UUAGGCUUCGACGGGAAUACAUGAAACAUAGACGGCGUGCCGACCUGUCAUCAAGUCGCAAAACCGAUGGCAAAACUGUAAAUGCCAAUAAUAUGGCUCUUGCUGCUUAAUAAAAAGUAGCGUGUCAACCAGCCAAUGUCUGCUACGCUGGAAGACAUCAAUUAGCAGGCUAGUUCUCUUAAGUUAGCCUUGGCGCUUGAGGAUGAAAUUCAGCAAGGAUAGCAUUUUAAAUAUCCUGUCUGCGGGAGCUUUAAGAUGUGAAAAUUAAUCCGUAGAAUACGCAUGUAGAUGUUUAUGUAACAGAUUCCCGGACCCGGGU
rnacentral:tmRNA from 1 species